UGGGGAAUAUUGCACAAUGGGCGCAAGCCUGAUGCAGCCAUGCCGCGUGUGUGAAGAAGGCCUUCGGGUUGUAAAGCACUUUCAGCGAGGAGGAAGGUGGUGAACUUAAUACGUUCAUCAAUUGACGUUACUCGCAGAAGAAGCACCGGCUAACUCCGUGCCAGCAGCCGCAGUAAUACGGAGGGUGCAAGCGUUAAUCGGAAUUACUGGGCGUAAAGCGCACGCAGGCGGUUUGUUAAGUCAGAUGUGAAAUCCCCGGGCUCAACCUGGGAACUGCAUUUGAAACUGGCAAGCUAGAGUCUCGUAGAGGGGGGUAGAAUUCCAGGUGUAGCGGUGAAAUGCGUAGAGAUCUGGAGGAAUACCGGUGGCGAAGGCGGCCCCCUGGACGAAGACUGACGCUCAGGUGCGAAAGCGUGGGGCAGCAAACAGGAUUAGAUACCCUGGUGGUCCACGCUGUAAACGAUGUCGAUUUGGAGGUUGUGCCCUUGAGGCGUGGCUUCCGGAGCUAACGCGUUAAAGUCGACCGCCUGGGGGAGUACGGCCGCAAGGUUAAAAC
rnacentral:rRNA from 1 species